CACCGACUGUGUAACACCGUAAAUAGAAGUAAUCUGUAAGUAGUAACUAUAUUUAAAUUUUUGAAUGAUAAGCUGAACAUCACGUAUAUUUAUACCCAUAUAUAUGGAACACUGUUUGCUGUUUCAAGCAUUAAAAAUAUGAUAUUUUAUGAAAUUCUUUGCAGUAAACUGAAACUAUUGAUUUAGCUUUAAGCAGAUUGUGAUCACAUUAACCUAUUUGAGAGAGGGAGAGGAUGAGAGAGAGAUUAUAAGUAUGCUAAAUGAAAUUGAUAAUGUAUUUUUUUAUUACUUUUAGAAGUUAUUGUAUCCGAUAUGACACAGUAUGAAAGACUGCUUAGGGCUAUUUUUGUGCUGCCAUUUUCAGCAGGAGACCCAAAGAAUCAGUAUCUAAAUGGAAUAGUCACUCAUGACGGAAGUGUUUCUGGUGUAGUGUUUCUUAUUAGCAUUGUUGUAAUUCUUUGUGAAAUAUUAUUGAUUGGAUCAUUCGGGACUGAGCAGGAUUCUACGUUUCUUUUCGUUAUAACAAUGGAAGUGACCUCUGGUCUUGCUAUAUUGAUUUGCAUAAUUCUAUAUAUCUAUGCAUCAUUUAAACCAGAUAUACUAGAAACAAACGAGAGCUGGGAUGUUAAAAACAUCAUCAUGAUGAAGUUUCUAUGGCUGUUUACCUUAGCUAGUUUGACAUAUAGUGGAAUUUACAUUGCAUAUCAUGCUGAUUGUCUUAUAAAUAAUUAUCCACUUGACGAUGUCAGAAAUCGUAUUCUUUGCGACGUUUUUCUGUUGACUUAUAGAUCAGUCCAAACAGGGUUUUUAACCUACUUUUCACAACGAGUGUUUGUGCGUAAACUCAGAUUCUAUUACGGAUUGCUUGUCUUAUUUUUAAUUAACAUUACAGUUAUUGUAAUAGACUUUGCUCACUCGGUCCGGGACGUUCAAAACUUCAGUAUAAAUAACACACAAAUCGCUAAACCAAAUACAUGUGCAAGCAAUUCAUCUGUUAGUUCAGUUUUGCUGGAUGUAAAGAAUUUCUUGGAACCUGCUGAACUUGAAUAUUCUUUAUUGACUAUUUUAUUUAUUACACAGCUAUGGCCAAAGAAGAAAAACAGUAAUGUAGUGUGUAAAAUUCGCAAUGGUGUUACUGGUGGUGAAUAUGAACCUUUAAUCUGUGUAAAUGAUAAUGCAGCAGUGUAUGAUAACAUUCCUUGUAGUCCGAAUUCCGAAAAACCUAAACGCAUGACAAUGAUAUUCGUAAAUAUUGCAUUCCCCGUGCUUAUUUCCAUACCAAGCUCUAUUUUACUGAUUAUGAAAAUCUACGCUCCAAAAGACGAAUCAUUAAAUAACUUAUUAAACAUCUUUAAUGGACUUCAAGUGACUAUACUUUUGUUUGUUUUAAUCAAUUGCUUUUAUUUACUCCAGUCAGACUGCAAACCGACCAAAGUGGAAAGCCAUUUUACAUCUAAAGACUAUCUUAUUCUUGUAAGUUUUGUUGGAGCGUUAUGUUUGUAUACAAUGAGAUUAAUUCCAUAUAUUUUACUUUUACAUACAGAUAAUCAAAAUCCAACUAAAACCUAUACGUAUGUUAUAGUGAUUAUUGGUAUUUAUUUUCAAACUGUUUUCUUAUUCCAAAUGAAAAACUAUGGAAAGGCGGAAAUCAAGUCAUCAUGGAUAUCAAUAGAGUAUACUUGUCUGUUUAUAUCCGUUGUCAACCUGAUGAUAUGGGUAGAGGAUUCAUUUAUUGCCGCCCGUUGGUUAUUUCGUGAUGACGCACCAUCAAUUUUCUAUGGUAACAAGGUGUGGGUUAUAUAUUUUACUCUGCUUUUUCCUUUCGUUAUUUUUUACCGUUUUAAAUGUUUUGUGGCAUUUUAUGGCUUGUAUCACAGACUGUCAAAAUGAAAGUUUAGAGGCAAAUUAAAAAUUAAAAACGAUUUGUCACAUGAAACUUGUUAAAUUUUAUUACAAACGUGACAAUUUGAAAUGAUACGUACAAAGAAGGAUAAUUCUUUUCUGUAUGAUGGCCAUCCGAUUGGUGUCGUUAUUACCGCCAUUUAAUUA
rnacentral:lncRNA from 1 species